rnacentral:rRNA from 1 species
UGGCUCAGAACGAACGCUGGCGGCAGGCCUAACACAUGCAAGUCGAGCGCGCCUUUCGGGGUGAGCGGCGGACGGGUUAGUAACGCGUGGGAAUAUGCCCUUUGGUACGGAAUAGCCUCUGGAAACGGAGAGUAAUACCGUAUGAGCCCUUCGGGGGAAAGAUUUAUCGCCAAAGGAUUAGCCCGCGUUAGAUUAGGUAGUUGGUGGGGUAAUGGCCUACCAAGCCUACGAUCUAUAGCUGGUUUUAGAGGAUGAUCAGCAACACUGGGACUGAGACACGGCCCAGACUCCUACGGGAGGCAGCAGUGGGGAAUCUUGGACAAUGGGGGCAAUCCUGAUCCAGCCAUGCCGCGUGAGUGAUGAAGGCCUUAGGGUCGUAAAGCUCUUUCGCCUGUGAAGAUAAUGACGGUAGCAGGUAAAGAAACCCCGGCUAACUCCGUGCCAGCAGCCGCGGUAAUACGGAGGGGGUUAGCGUUGUUCGGAAUUACUGGGCGUAAAGCGCACGUAGGCGGAUCGGAAAGUUGGGGGUGAAAUCCCGGGGCUCAACCCCGGAACUGCCUCCAAAACUAUCGGUCUAGAGUUCGAGAGAGGUGAGUGGAAUUCCGAGUGUAGAGGUGAAAUUCGUAGAUAUUCGGAGGAACACCAGUGGCGAAGGCGGCUCACUGGCUCGAUACUGACGCUGAGGUGCGAAAGUGUGGGGAGCAAACAGGAUUAGAUACCCUGGUAGUCCACACCGUAAACGAUGAAUGCCAGUCGUCGGGUAGCAUGCUAUUCGGUGACACACCUAACGGAUUAAGCAUUCCGCCUGGGGAGUACGGUCGCAAGAUUAAAACUCAAA